rnacentral:rRNA from 1 species
UCGACUCUGUCGAAUAAAGUUCUAGUUAAGUUUUGAUAAUGACAUUUCUUAACUAUGUGUCUUGACCAAAUCACGUGCCAGCAGUCGCGGUAAGACGUGGAAGACUAGUGUUAUUCAUCUUUAACAGGUUUAAAGGGUACCUAGACGGUAAAUCAAGCCCCAAAAGGGUACUAAUUUACUAGAGUUUAAUAAGAGAGGGGGAGUACUGAUGAGUGGAGAGAUGAAAUUUUAUGAUACCAUUAGGAACAGACAAAGGCGAAAGCGACCUUUUACAUAAAAACUGACGUUGAGGGACGAAGGCUUUAGUCGUGAACAGGAUUAGAUACCCAAGUAAUUAAAGCAGACAAUGAUGAAUGUCAUAGAUUAGAGAUUCGUAUUAAUCUAUAAAUGAAAGUGUAAGCAUUCCACCUCAAGAGUAAUGUGGCAACGCAGAAACUGAAAUCAUUAGACCGUUUCUGAAACCAGUAGUGAAGUAUGUUGUUUAAUUAGAUAAUCCGCAAAAGACCUCACCACAAUUUGAAUAUUAUUAAUAUCUUUUUAAUAAUACAAGCGUUGCACGGCUGUCUUCAGUUAAUGUCGUGAGAUUAGGUUAGUUCCAUU